AGAGAGAGACAUGCGCGCAUAUCAAUAAGCGGAGGAAAAGAAACUAACUAAGGAUUCCCUUAGUAACGGCGAGUGAAGCGGGAAGAGCUCAAAUUUGAAAUCUUCAAGGUUCUACCUUGACGAAUUGUAGUUUAAAGAAGUGUUUUCGGUUAGAGGAGUUUAGUAAAAGUUCUUUGGAAUAGGACAUCAUAGAGGGUGAGAAUCCCGUAUUUGACCUAUUUCUUUCUAGCUGUGUGAUACACUUUCAAAGAGUCGGAUUGUUUGGGAAUGCAGUCCAAAAUGGGUGGUAAAUUUCAUCUAAAGCUAAAUAUUGGCGAGAGACCGAUAGCGAACAAGUACCGUGAGGGAAAGAUGAAAAGAACUUUGAAAAGAGAGUUAAACAGUACGUGAAAUUGUCCAAAAGGGAAGCGUUUGACACCAGUGUUGUUUUCUCGAAAAUCAAUUAAAAAUGGAUUCAUGCUAGGUAGUAUUGACUUCAUCGGCUUGCUGCUUAGUUUUGGGUUCUUUUUUGAUGCACUUUUCGGUUAACAAGUCAACAUCAAUUUCUUUUGCUGUAAAAGGGUAAGAGGAAGGUGGCUUGCGCUUCGGCUCAAGUGUUUAUAGCCUUUUACCUCUGCAAUCGGAGAGAUUGAGGUCUGCAGCGUAGACUCUUCGGGGUUAGAUACAUUUAUGCUAAGCUAUAGCCUUUCAUAGACAACUUGUUGACUAUGAUCAGUCAUGUAGCUUACUCGCUUAUGUCAUUUUACCUACGCUUAGGAUGUUGACAGCAGUAUAGACUGU
rnacentral:rRNA from 1 species